UGUAAGCGUAUACCAAAGUUGUUGCAGUUAAAACGCUCGUAGUCGGAAUUUGGCAGUUCCGGAUGUGUGCACGUCGUGUGCGCACUUCGCGGGGAUUGCUUUUGUGGUCUUGCGUAGGAUGAGGCACUUUUAUUAGUGAACGUCCUCACGCAACCACUUUUUACUGUGAGAAAAUCAGAGUGCUCAAAGCAGGCAUUUGCCGUGAAUGUAUUAGCAUGGAAUAAUAGAAUAGGACUUGGUUCUAUUUUGUUGGUUUGUUGGGACUGAGUAAUGAUUAAGAGGGACAGUUGGGGGCAUUUGUAUUUCGGUGCUAGAGGUGAAAUUCUUAGAUUGCCGGAAGACAAACUGCUGCGAAAGCGUCUGCCAAGGAUGUUUUCAUUGA
rnacentral:rRNA from 1 species